rnacentral:misc_RNA from 1 species
UUAAGUUCAGCGGGUAGUCUUACCUGAUUUGAGGUCAAAAUUGUCAAAAGUUGUCCAGUGAAGGACGGUUAGAAGCAGGUCUAUAUUAGCCUUCCAAUCCACGGCGUAGAUAAUUAUCACACCAAUAGAUUAGGGGCCUAACCCACUAAUACAUUUCAGAGGAGCAGACCACGGUAGUGGACCUGCAACCCCCACAUCCA